rnacentral:rRNA from 1 species
CUGAGGCUCGAAAGCAUGGGUAGCGAACAGGAUUAGAUACCCUGGUAGUCCAUGCCGUAAACGAUGAUUACUAAGUGUUGGAGGGUUUCCGCCCUUUCAGUGCUGCAGCUAACGCAUUAAGUAAUCCGCCUGGGGAGUACGACCGCAAGGUUGAAACUCAAAAGAAUUGACGGGGGCCCGCACAAGCGGUGGAGCAUGUGGUUUAAUUCGAAGCUACGCGAAGAACCUUACCAGGUCUUGACAUCUUCUGCCAACCUAAGAGAUUAGGCGUUCCCUUCGGGGACAGAAUGACAGGUGGUGCAUGGUUGUCGUCAGCUCGUGUCGUGAGAUGUUGGGUUAAGUCCCGCAACGAGCGCAACCCUUAUUACUAGUUGCCAGCAUUCAGUUGGGCACUCUAGUGAGACUGCCGGUGACAAACCGGAGGAAGGUGGGGACGACGUCAAAUCAUCAUGCCCCUUAUGACCUGGGCUACACACGUGCUACAAUGGAUGGUACAACGAGUCGCGAAACCGCGAGGUUUAGCUAAUCUCUUAAAACCAUUCUCAGUUCGGACUGUAGGCUGCAACUCGCCUACACGAAGUCGGAAUCGCUAGUAAUCGCGGAUCAGCAUGCCGCGGUGAAUACGUUCCCGGGCCUUGUACACACCGCCCGUCACUCCAUGAGAGUUUGUAACACCCAAAGCCGGUGGGG